AGAGGAGACAUCCAAAGGGAUCGCAUUGAUCCCAAAUUUCAUUCUUAAAUUUCUCUUUCCCUUUUCAAAAUAUUUGGGAUCAUGCUAUCCCUUUGGAUUCCUCCUU
rfam:Lupinus angustifolius cultivar Tanjil chromosome LG09, whole genome shotgun sequence.